GAUGAACGCUGACAGAAUGCUUAACACAUGCAAGUCAACUUGAACUUCGGUUUGGGUGGCGGACGGGUGGGUAACGCGUAAAGAACUUGCCUCACAGAUAGGGACAACAUUUGGAAACGAAUGCUAAUACCUGAUAUUAUGAUUUUAGGGCAUCCUAGGAUUAUGAAAGCUAUAUGCGCUGUGAGAGAGCUUUGCGUCCCAUUAGCUAGUUGGAGAGGUAACGGCCCACCAAGGCGAUGAUGGGUAGCCGGCCUGAGAGGGUGAUCGGCCACAAGGGGACUGGGACACGGCCCUUACUCCUACGGGAGGCAGCAGUGGGGAAUAUUGGACAAUGGACCAAGAGUCUGAUGCAGCAAUUCUGUGUGCACGAUGAAGUUUUUCGGAAUGUAAAGUGCUUUCAGUUGGGAAGAAAAAAAUGACGGUACCAACAGAAGAAGUGACGGCUAAAUACGUG
rnacentral:rRNA from 1 species